rnacentral:lncRNA from 1 species
CAUCACCUGGCUCCCCCACUCAUUAACAAACAACAUCUGUGCGUGUUUUGAUGCCUUUCUGUUUAGAAUAACUGUGCAUUAUAAGGAGAAAGAGGCACCUGAUCACCACACACUUCUUGGAUUUUUAGUUAACCUAUCACCUUAACAGUUGGACAGCUGGUGGACGUUUUCAAGAAUGGCAAUUUUCUUCUUGCUGUUGUGAGUCUCUCUUUGGCCUUUGUAUCCUCCCAGCAAACAGGCUGCUCUCCUAACCUCACAGGAAACAAAUGGUGUUCUUUUCCGUUUUCUGCCUGACUGAAUUCAGGACCACAGGGAAUGAGGAUUUCAGGAGGCCAACAAAUUUUUGCUUUCCUAGUGAGAAGACUAAGAAUGGCUUUCAACCUGGGACUGGCAGAGCAGGGCUGACAGUCACUGUCACAGUAACCAGAGGAGAGAAGCACAGAUGGUCCUGAAAUCCUGGGGGGUACCUUUUGAAGAAAUGGCCUUUGAAUUUAUUCUGGGGAAACACCUUUUUAUGAUAUUGCACUGUGAUCUGUCACACUGGGAAAAGCUGUUGAAUGCAGCUCAAACCUAGAAUGCUUCAAAAUAUUUUUAAAAGCCCUAAUAAUUCAUCUUAUGAAGUACUCCAACAACCAAAACUUGAGGAUACUCUAAUUUUCCCUGAUGGGUAUCAUGGUUUAGUUUAAUUCAUGUGAUCAAAGCUGGCCCUGCAUAUUUGAGCCAAAGGAAAAUAUCCAUAUGCCCAAAAUAAAGCCUUUGCUCUAUCCA